AAUUGCAGAACUCCGUGAACCAAUAGCACCCUGAACUCGCAUUGCACUCUUGGGACACGCCUGAGAGUAUGUCUGCUUCAGUGC
rnacentral:rRNA from 1 species